CACACGACCCUACCGCAAACCGACACUGGUGCGCGAGAUGAGUAUUCUAAGGCGCUUGAGAGAACUCAGGAGAAGGAACUCGGCAAAUUGACACCGUAACUUCGGAAGAAGGUGUGCCUUUAGUAGGUGAACCAUUUACUUGGGGAGCCCAAUGAGGCUGCAAAAAAUCGGUGGCUGCAACUGUUUAUUAAAAACACAGCACUCUGCUAAGACGAAAGUCGACGUAUAGGGUGUGACGCCUGCCCGGUGCUGGAAGAUUAAAUGAUGGGGUGCAAGCUCUUGAUUGAAGUCCCAGUAAACGGCGGCCGUAACUAUAACGGUCCUAAGGUAGCGAAAUUCCUUGUCGGGUAAGUUCCGACCUGCACGAAUGGCGUAAUGAUGGCCACACUGUCUCCUCCUGAGACUCAGCGAAGUUGAAAUGUUUGUGAUGAUGCAAUCUCCCCGCGGAAAGACGGAAAGACCCCAUGAACCUUUACUGUAGCUUUGUAUUGGACUUUGAACAGAUCUGUGUAGGAUAGGUGGGAGGCUUUGAAGUGUGGUCGCUAGAUCGCAUGGAGCCAACGUUGAAAUACCACCCUGGUGUGUUUGAGGUUCUAACCUAGGUCCAUUAUCUGGAUCGGGGACAGUGCAUGGUAGGCAGUUUGACUGGGGCGGUCUCCUCCCAAAGUGUAACGGAGGAGUUCGAAGGUACGCUAGGUACGGUCGGACAUCGUGCUAAUAGUGCAAUGGCAUAAGCGUGCUUAACUGCGAGACUGACAAGUCGAGCAGAUGCGAAAGCAGGACAUAGUGAUCCGGUGGUUCUGUAUGGAAGGGCCAUCGCUCAACGGAUAAAAGGUACUCUGGGGAUAACAGGCUGAUACCGCCCAAGAGUUCAUAUCGACGGCGGUGUUUGGCACCUCGAUGUCGGCUCAUCUCAUCCUGGGGCUGUAGCCGGUCCCAAGGGUAUGGCUGUUCGCCAUUUAAAGAGGUACGUGAGCUGGGUUUAAAACGUCGUGAGACAGUUUGGUCCCUAUCUUCCGUGGGCGCUGCAGAUUUGAGGAAGCCUGCUCCUAGUACGAGAGGUCCGGAGUGGACGAACCUCUGGUGUAUCGGUUGUCACGCCAGUGGCAUUGCCGAGUAGCUAAGUUCGGAAGAGAUAACCGCUGAAAGCAUCUAAGCGGGAAACUCGUUUCAAGAUUAGAUCUGCCGGGGCCUUGAGCCCCCUAAAGAGUCGUUCAAGACCAGGACGUUGAUAGGUCAGGUGUGGAAGCUA
rnacentral:rRNA from 1 species